UCUUAGUCCUUCACUGUCUCUGGGCUUGGAUCUGAAGAUCCUCUGCUUUUUCUGGGAUUUAGAUCCCGGCCCCUCUGGUCUCAUCACCAGGUCCAAGCCAGGGGUCUCACUCAGGAUGCCCACCCCCCUUCCCGCCUCUGGCCCUUUGCUUCAAUGUAUGGAGAAAGGUCACCCACACUGGAAACAUCCGGGCAGAUGGCAGCUGCGGGGUCUGAGGAGAGGGCGGCAUGGGCCUUGACAGCCACCUCCGCUCCCUUCCUGUCCUCCCUUCUAAGCUGUUCAGGGACACCAGCCCCUCUGCCAACUUCGAGACUCUGCGGAAAUCCCCUGAGCGGACAGGAGCGCAGGGCCACCACGUGUACCGCCCACAAUCGCGGGCCUCGAAGGUGGCCUGGAACGCUCAGGAGGGGCCGAACCUUCGUAAGCUCCAGCCCACCUUCUGGGGUGCUGGCUCUCUCUCUUCGGUCGCUCCCUGUGCCCGGCUUCCCGCGCCCUCUCCAAAGGCCCCUGCAGGACUCCCCACUUGUUAAGUCUUUUCCAAACAGCAACUCCCGAAAAGCAGCAGCCUGAAGCUCCCCAGAGGCCCUGCAGGACCAAAUCGCCCUCCAUGACGCAUUUUUGUUUUGUAGCCGUUAUCCUCGCCCAUCGCCCUUCCCCCAUCCCUCUGGAAGCUUCUUCGGCUGCAGACCUCUUCAUUAUGUGGCUGUUUGUUUCCGGAACCUGGUGCUCCCUCCGGGGACUCCUUGGUACUUUGCAUCGCUGGCCAAAAGGAGAAUGAGAACGCGCGAAGGGCACCAGGGCCCUAUAAGGCAGUGUGCAGUGUUCCAGUCAACUAAAUGGACUUGCCUUCAGCCAGGAGGGAGCCAUUUCUGCAGGACAGAACUAAUAUUGGGUCUCCCAGGAAGCUCUUCAUCAAAACAGCCCUUGUCCUUUUUUUGUUGUUUCUGAAUUAAAAAGAUGCGUUUGCCUUCCUCUCCGUAUUCACGCCCUUAUUUUGUAGCCACAAUGAAAUCAGUUCAGUUCUUUAUAUCCUCUGUUAAUGUCUUAUUUUGGGGGGCCUCAGGAAGCUCCAAACCCGCCUUGGUGUGUCCUGUGCUUCUGAUGUUUACUCACUACUCCCUGGGUCACCCGGAGACUCAUACUCAGUUCUUCCUCCACUUGGGUAUCACUUCUCUCCUAAAG
ensembl:lncRNA